GCUUUCAUGUCCACGCCCUUGGUGACACCACCAAUGGCUGUAUGUCAACUGGUAAUUUUCCUGUGUUGUCUGUUCAUCUUUGUUAACAACUAGUAAACUCCAAUGGUGAGAGGUUGUACUUGUACCAGUUCUAGCCAUUGAAAUUUCUCUCUCUCAUAUUCCAGUAAUUUCAUAUGCAGGACCUCAUUUCAAUCCUGUUGGGAAAGAGCAUGGUGCACCUGGAGAUGAGAACCGUCAUGCUGGUGAUCUUGGUAAUAUCACAGUUGGCGAAGAUGGUACAUUCCUUUGCAUUUUUGACAAAAAAAUUUUGCACACUACUGUUAUUAAGUUCUGCAGAGACGUAAUAUUUCCUUCAUUCAUAAACUAAAGAAUAUAGUACCUUCACUCGUAAACUAGUAAACGACCUUUUGCUUCCAAACAUGUUUUGAUAUGUUAUGUUUUUCUUACUGGUAAGUAAAAAAAAGUAGUUAUUUUAGGAGUAACUCUUGCCUUACUCUUAAAAUAAGCAACUUAUUUCCAACUUUGUCAAUAAUCUAAAAUUGACACAUACUUAAGAUUAAUGGGUGUUUUAAGCUUAGCCAAUCAUGCUCUUAGUUUUUGCUAUCAAAGCUACCUAUGCUGUUUGAUGACUGCUGUUAAAGUUUUGUAGUAUUGCAAAAAUUAUUUGAAAACUUCCCACCGAUAUUGUUAAGGGAAAAAAAGGUCAUCACAUAUUAUUUGUUAGAGAAUUUGAGUAUUAUAUUGUUUAAUCCCCAAGGGUAGUGUAAAUAAACAAAAAGUUGCGGGUGCUAUGCUAUAUGCAUUACAAAAUGCUUACAUGCUCACUUCUCCUUUUUCCAUCAUUUUAAUGUUCAGGCACCGCUGCUAUCAACAUUGUUGACAAGCAGGUGAAUGAUUCUUCACCACAGUUUCAGCUUAUAAUAUGUAGUUUUCUUGGACUAGUAUCU
rnacentral:lncRNA from 1 species